rnacentral:lncRNA from 1 species
CAAAAAACUAAGACCCUAACCUCCUUCAUGAGAUGAUAUGGAAACAGUUGUAUGUAAGAAAAUAUGAGAUACAAUGGAUCAAAAUGAGUUCUCCAGAGAGGCACCAAAAUUUACUAUGGGAGCAUGGAGGACAAUGAGAUGAUCUCUGCCUGGGGAUGGGGGCACAUUGAUGGAAGUGAGCAGGCGAUCUGAGUGCAGAGGCACAGAAGUCAUCAGGCGGAGGCUGGGAAGCAGGGCUCUCCCAGGUAGUAAGAACAUCCUGCUUAAAAGCCCAGAAAGUAGGACAACAGUCAGUAACUGAAUUAGCCAAAUAUUCAGAAGAAGGCAGCAUGCCCCAAAUGUCUCCAGUCACAAUUAAGCUACUGGCUUUCCUUCUGCAUGGAACUGGGUUCGUUGCCAAACAUUCCUGUCAAGUGAGGUAUCAGAGAUCCAUAUAGAAGCCCAGCUUCAGCAACUACCUGGUGGCAAGGAAGAAGAGUCCUCGACACAGACAUCGUAGGUGAACUCCUCCAGAAUGAGAUCAACAGGAUCAGAAAUGCCCUUCCAUUUCCAUUAAGCCCCCCAGUUAAGAACACUGAAUUGGAGUAAGGAAUUAAUGGGAGGAGACCUGUGAAAAUUCCUAUACACUGCUUGAGAAGAAUGGCAGACCAACUAAUUAACUCAUCCAGUAAUUUGUCAUAUUAAAUUAUCACAGCAACUUGUGAGAAGCGGGGAGUUUCUCUGGGAAAUAGGACCCAGCACAAGCCCCUGACACUCCCAUGAUGCAGAUGAUCUACA